AGUGAACGCUGGCGGUAGGCCUAACACAUGCAAGUCGAACGGCAGCACAGUAAGAGCUUGCUCUUACGGGUGGCGAGUGGCGGACGGGUGCGGAAUACAUCGGAAUCUACUUUUUCGUGGGGGAUAACGUAGGGAAACUUACGCUAAUACCGCAUACGACCUACGGGUGAAAGCAGGGGAUCUUCCGACCUUGCGCGAUCGAAUGAGCCGAUGUCGGAUUAGCUAGUUGGCGGGGUAAAGGCCCACCAAGGCGACGAUCCGUAGCUGGUCUGAGAGGAUGAUCAGCCACACUGGAACUGAGACACGGUCCAGACUCCUACGGGAGGCAGCAGUGGGGAAUAUUGGACAAUGGGCGCAAGCCUGAUCCAGCCAUGCCGCGUGGGUGAAGAAGGCCUUCGGGUUGUAAAGCCCUUUUGUUGGGAAAGAAAAGCAGCAGGUUAAUACCCCGCUGUUCUGACGGUACCCAAAGAAUAAGCACCGGCUAACUUCGUG
rnacentral:rRNA from 1 species